rnacentral:rRNA from 1 species
GUCUUUAAGAAAUUUUAAUUUAAAGUCUAAUCUGCCCACUGAAUAAAUUUUAAAUGGCUGCAGAAUUUUUUACUGUACAAAGGUAGCAUAAUAAUUUGUUUUUUAAUUAAAAACUAGAAUGAAAGAUUAAAUGAAAUAUAAACUGUUUCAAUUAAAUUAUAUAUUAAAAUUUUUAUUUAAGUAAAAAAACUUAAAUAAAUUUUAAAGACGACAAGACCCUAUAGAAUUUUAUUUAUUAAUUUAUUAAUUUUUAAUAAUUAAUAAAUUUUAUUGGGGUAAUAAAAAAAUUAAUAUAAUUUUUUUUAAAAAAAACAUAAAUUAAUGUAUAAAAAAUCUUAAUUUUUAAAUUAAAAAAAUUAAUUACCUUAGGGAUAACAGCAUAAUUUUUUUUAAAAGACCAUAUUAAUAAAAAAGAUUAU